GCCGGGAAGACCUGCGGCGUGGAGACAGCGCAAGCGCAGUGUCCGAUGAGCCCCGCGAAGCUGCUGGCACAUAGAGUUUGGGUCUGCGUGAGGUUCUGCUAGUAACAGUUGUCCGCAUUUGCCCCUGGGAGGUACCGGACCAGUUGAUGAGUGCUCCAGGGCUUCACCCAGGUCUUACAAUUAACCUUCUGGCACCUCGGCCCGGUGGGCAGUGUGCCUGUACUCACGUUCCUACGACAGCGCCGAGGGUCCCGCACCCGGCUGUCUCACUCAGCGUCUGGAGCUGCCCAAACCCGAUCGUCGCCCUGCGCCCCUCCUGCAGACCGACGGACCCUUUCAAGUCACUGAAACCCGAAAGUGAUAGUCAUAUCUACUUCACAGAGUUGGAUUAAUAGGGCUUGUGCAUGCGAGACAAUGUAAAAACGCCUUGGCACAGCGCAGAGCACUCAGCGAGCGGCGGAAAACUUGGUUUAUGAAGUGCUGACCUGGUCCCAUUGGAAGUAGAAAUGCAGUUUCGUGAUUGGACUGGUUCCCUUAAGAAAAUCAAACCCACGUCUCAGAGGCAGUGACGGAGGCUGGGUCGUCUCACAGAAGUCACCCUCCCUGAGUUCCUGGCUUGGGUGACUUGAAGUUGAUAGAUACAGAGCAGCUGAGCUCUGUAGUGGCCAGGUUAUGACAGGGAGCCACCAAGGGAUGGCCAGGUGGAGCAGGCCAGUGGGAGCAGCUGCGCACACUCAGCAAAGCAGGCACAACCCGAGCCUGGGGACGAGCCCGACGCCCAAGGUUGAGAAGAAACCUGUAUGGGGUCUCGGAGGAAGGAGAAGGAUUCUAGAAGCAGGGUCUGGUUCAGUGCCCAGGAAGGAGCACAUAGAGGCCACCAUUGCCUGGCGGAGCCGUCUGGCGGAGCGAGAUCGCAAACCUCAAGCGUGGGGCGUGUCUUAAAGGAGCUCAGCUGUGAGGGAAGAGCAGGGCACCGUGGCUCCUUAGAAAGAAUGCUGAGUCGAGGGAAAGCAAUUUUAAAAUCACGUUUAUUAAGAGUUAUUUUCUGAAGUAAUGUACAUUCGCAUAGAAAGUCGAGAAACACAUAAGCACAACAAAACGUAAUGACAAAUUAUGGCAUCAUAAUAACCGCUGUCAGUACUUAGGUAUACGUCUUUUUUCUUUUUUCUUUUUUUUAUCCUUUUAGGCGAGGCCACCCUUGGUUGAUCUCACAAGAACCUUGUCAGCUUACAAUCCCUUAUUUUUUACUUUUUUUAAAUUUUUUACUCCUA